rnacentral:rRNA from 1 species
GCGGCACGCUUAACACAUGCAAGUCGAACGAGGUCCAUGGAGCUUGCUCCGGAAGACCUAGUGGCGAACGGGUGCGUAACACGUGAGAAAUCUGCCCCGGACUCUGGAAUAACAGUUGGAAACGACUGCUAAUACCGGAUGCCUUCAUUUGGCCGCAUGGUCGUUUGAAGAAAGAUUUAUCGGUUUGGGAGGAUCUCGCGGCCUAUCAGCUUGUUGGAGAGGUAACGGCUCACCAAGGCAUCGACGGGUAGCUGGUCUGAGAGGAUGAUCAGCCACACUGGAACUGAGACACGGUCCAGACUCCUACGGGAGGCAGCAGUGGGGAAUCUUGCACAAUGGGCGAAAGCCUGAUGCAGCGAUGCCGCGUGCGGGAAGAAGGCCCUAGGGUUGUAAACCGCUUUCAGGAGGGAAGAAAAUGACGGUACCUCCAGAAGAAGGUGCGGCCAACUACGUGCCAGCAGCCGCGGUGACACGUAGGCACCAAGCGUUAUCCGGAUUUAUUGGGCGUAAAGAGCUCGUAGGCGGUUUGGUAAGUCGGGUGUGAAAACUCUGGGCUCAACCCAGAGAGGCCACUCGAUACUGCUAUGACUAGAGUACGGUAGGGGAGCGGGGAAUUCCUGGUGUAGCGGUGAAAUGCGCAGAUAUCAGGAGGAACACCAGCGGCGAAGGCGCCGCUCUGGGCCGUAACUG